rnacentral:rRNA from 1 species
AUUGAACGCUGGCGGCAUGCCUUACACAUGCAAGUCGAACGGUAACAGGUCUUCGGAUGCUGACGAGUGGCGAACGGGUGAGUAAUACAUCGGAACGUGCCUAGUAGUGGGGGAUAACUACUCGAAAGAGUGGCUAAUACCGCAUGAGAUCUACGGAUGAAAGCAGGGGAUCGCAAGACCUUGUGCUACUAGAGCGGCCGAUGGCAGAUUAGGUAGUUGGUGGGAUAAAAGCUUAACAAGCCGACUAUCUGUAGCUGGUCUGAGAGGACGAUCAGCCACACUGGGACUGAGACACGGCCCAGACUCCUACGGGAGGCAGCAGUGGGGAAUUUUGGACAAUGGGCAAAAGCCUGAUCCAGCAAUGCCGCGUGCAGGAUGAAGGCCUUCGGGUUGUAAACUGCUUUUGUACGGAACGAAAAGCCCCGGGUUAAUACCCUGGGGUCAUGACGGUACCGUAAGAAUAAGCACCGGCUAACUACGUGCCAGCCGCCGCAGUAA